ACACACAAACACACACACACACACACACACACACACACACACACACACACACACACACACACACACACACACACACACACACACACACACACACACACACACAGACACACACACACACACACACACACAGACACACACCAUGUAACGCACUACACAGAGUGAGGUGCGUUACAUCACUCUGGACCACACAGCUGAACUCAAGAAAGGGACACCUUAGAAAGAUUUCCCUCUCUGACAAAUGAGACGUUCUUAACUGCUGAACUUGACAUGAAGAUGAAAUAUAAUAAUAUAGCAUUCAGUAAUGGAUUACAUUUUCACAUUUCCCCGUUAGUUUCUAAUGCCUCCGUCUGCUGCGAGACGUGAAGGUGUGUGUCCUCCUCCAGGCAGUGAGAUCCCUCUGGCUAAAUGGUUUCCUGUUUCAAAGCUCACAGUUCUUAAUGAAAACAGGUUCCUGGCCUUUAUAACAUGUCCUAACACACCAGUCCUCCGGCCCAGACGGGUGGCCAUUCAUCUCCCAGCACCACUGGCUUCCAAUCCAAACAUCGGCCUGGAUAAGAGUCCAGGACACAAACAUCUUUCCAUCCCAUAAUGUACAUCACACCCCAUUACAUUACAUUUGCGUUUAGCAGACGCCUCCAUCCUAAAGUAUGUUAAAGUGAGGUUUGGGACAAUCGUAGCGUGCCAUCAGAAUUACAGUAAAAACACUUCUAAAAGAGGAUAACUAUGUAGGGACUUCAAUCGCCUUGUCUGUGGAUAAACAGAACCGUUCGAAUGAAAGCAGACCCCACAGAGCUUCUGACAACAACUGGCGAGAGCAGCCCUAGAUAUCAGUGGGUCAUGCUGAGCAUGUUUGCAGGCUGGAUUCCUACAAAAGGAUCAUAUUGGGAGUGUUGUGGUGGUAUGGCUGGAAACCAUGACCCCCCCCCCCCCUCCCACUGCCCACCCUGCUGGUGAUGAGGUCUGCUCUGUUGAAGUCAUUUGAGAUCAAGUGGGAUUACUUCCCCAGUAAUAAUAGUACCACUGCUACUGGUACUGUUACUAUAACUGUAAGUAACUAAUGUACAGUUCCUGCUCAUGUUCAGGCACCGUAUUACCUUGUACAGGUAAUUAAGUACAGGUAACUGAUUAACAGGUAGCUAGUGUAAAGGUAUUUCAGUACAGGUAACUGAUUAACAGGUAGCUAGUGUAAAGGUAUUUCAGUACAGGUGACUGAUUAUCAGGUAGCUAGUAUAAAGGUAAUUAAGUGCAGCUAAUAAAUGCACAGGUAACUCAUGGUGAGGUACCCAAUGAACAGCCAACUAAUUAUAUGUUGUGUGUAUAUACUAGAGCUGUCAAGCGAUUAAAAUAUUUAAUCAUGAUUAAUCGCAUUAAUGUCAUAGUUAACUCUAAUUAAUCGCGAUUAAUCGCAAAUUCUUUUUCUAUGCUGAAUAUCCCUUGAUUUUUUUGUCCCAUAAUUCUUCUCAUUUUAAUUCUCUUAUCAACAUGGUGAAGUGCAUCGGCUUGCCUUGUGCAAAUGAUUUUUUAUUGAUAACAACAUUGCCAUAUACACUGAUCAAAACAGGACGAUACAAAAAAAGAGCCUAUAGUGCAAUUAAACGACUGCUUUGAACAAAUGUCAUUUGAACAUAGCAGUCAGGCUACUGCUUCUUUG
ensembl:lncRNA